GGGUUUGCGACCUCGAUGUUGGACUAGGAUGUCCUAAGGGUGCAGAAGCUCUUGAUGGUAGGUCUGUUCGACCUUUAAAAUCCUACAUGAUCUGAGUUCAGACCGGUUUAAGCCAGGUUGGUUUCUAUCUAUUUUUAGGUUUCUUUUUUUUAGUACGAAAGGACCAAAAAAAGAAAAUGUUUUUGGUUAAAGAAUGUUUUAAUUAUUUAUAAUAAAUUAUAAUUUUUUU
rnacentral:rRNA from 1 species